rnacentral:rRNA from 1 species
ACGGGAGGCAGCAGUAGGGAAUCUUCCACAAUGGACGAAAGUCUGAUGGAGCAACGCCGCGUGAGUGAAGAAGGUUCUCGGAUCGUAAAACUCUGUUGUGAGGGAAGAACAAGUACCGGAGUAACUGCCGGUACCUUGACGGUACCUCAUUAGAAAGCCACGGCUAACUACGUGCCAGCAGCCGCGGUAAUACGUAGGUGGCAAGCGUUGUCCGGAAUCAUUGGGCGUAAAGCGCGCGCAGGCGGUCCCUUAAGUCUGAUGUGAAAGCCCACGGCUCAACCGUGGAGGGUCAUUGGAAACUGGGGGACUUGAGUGCAGAAGAGGAAAGCGGAAUUCCAAGUGUAGCGGUG